CUAAUUACUGAUGAAAAGAAACCAGCUCAGUACUGUUUUCAGCAUCAGCAAGGUAAACAGUAUAUAAAGGCUCUUCAUUCUGUGUAACAGCACAACUUGCAUGAGCAGAUCAACCAUCACUGAAAAUGGGAAAGGUAAGAUGAUCUGAAUAUUGUAAAUAUUUGCAACACAAGAAAUUUUGGAAACAAUAAACAUAUUUCUUUUUUUAAAAUGAACCAAACAAAUUCAAAUUUGAAAUGCUUACACUGAAUGCCAGCAAACUUUAUCCUAUACAAUAUAUCCUAUCCUAUCCAAUAUACUGUGGUGAGUUUAUCUAGGCCAGAAACAUGACAACAUAAUAUUCCAUAAACUAGUUUUGGACAUUUGCCGCCUCAUCAAAUACAAAUUCAUCAGAACACAUGCUUCACAUGUUUACUUUUUUCAGACUCAAGAUUAAGAUUUUUUCAGUUUUUGAAAGUACUUUCUAGUGAAUGCCACUAUUAACCGUAAUAAAUUGCUAUAAUUAUGUGAAAGUGAAUGCAAGUUCACCAAUCUAAAAAAACACAAAAUGUACCAAAAACAUAUAUUCCAAUUCGGUCCUAAACUUAGAUGUUUAACACCUACACUUUAUUAUUUGAACAGGAUAAUAGUGGAUGUUUUUAGGAAUCUAUAGCAUCAAGUAAUCAAACCAGUAACUAUUUUUUAAAUGAAAUUAUUAACCACUAAAACAAUAAUAAACUAAAAAAUCUAAAAUGUUCAAAUGCAUGGUUGUUUCACAGAUUGUCUUCUACGAGGAUCGUAACUUCCACGGCCGCUCUUAUGAGUGCAACUCUGAGUGUCCAGAUAUGUCCUCAUAUUUUCAGCGCUGUAAUUCCAUCCGAGUGGAAAGUGGAAACUGGAUUCUGUAUGAGCACCCCAACUAUAGAGGACACCAGUAUUACCUUAGCAGGGGAGAAUAUCCUAAUUUCCAGCAAUGGAUGGGUUUCAAUGACUCCAUCAGAUCUUGUCGUAUUAGCCCACAGGUAAAGAUAUUUACCAAAAUAGUUAAGAACCUUACAUAAAUAUGAUGCAGUACAAAAAAACAUUAUUUUCCAAUUAUCAAUUAUUAUAGGUUUACCUUUGCAAAUAUGACCUUUUUUGACUACUAUUCAUUAUUUUAUGGAAUAUAUCUUCAAUUCACAAUUCCAUUGUCAGGUAACAGGUGGGUUAACAUGGAUAAAAAAAAAUAUAUAUAUAUUCCCGUAUAGAUUUUUGAUGUUUACAUGCAAUUAUACAAUUAUUUUACUCUUGUUUAUAAAUAUUUUUUUCUUCGUAAAGCACCAUGGAUCAUUCAGAGUAAAGGUCUAUGAGAGGGAGGAUUUCCGAGGUCAGAUGAUGGAGUUCACUGAAGAUUGUGUUAAUGUCAAUGAGAGAUUCCGUUACCAUGACAUCCACUCCUGCCAGGUGAUUGAUGGCUACUGGAUGUUCUAUGAGGAACCAAAUUACAAAGGACGCCAGUAUUACCUGAGACCUGGAGAGUACAAAAGAUAUACUGACUGGGGUGCCAUGAGCCCAAGAAUUGGCUCAUUCAGGAGACUUCAUCAUUUCUAAUAAGUUGUAUUUAUUACUAAAUCAGCAUAUCAUUAAGAAUAUAAUAAAAGCUUCAAAAAAUAUCUUUAAGGUCUAUAUUUUUUUCAUUUUCUAUUUAAGUUGUGGUUUUAUACCUUUUACUUUACAUGCAAAAUGCAAACACUUAUUUUAAACCACAGUUCAGUAAAUAAAUUAUUAAUAUAACAGUGGUUCCUAUAAAAACAAAUAAUGAGUACGUAAUAAGGGGAAUUAUAUUAUUUUUUAGAUAUAAUCCCUCAGGAAGUUAAAGUUGUGACAGACAAAUUACUUAUAGCUUUUUUUACUGAAGGUGGUUUGAACAAAAAAAGUAAUAGUAUUUCUUAAAAGAAGAAUGAAAACAUUCUUUCAACAACUCUGUCAUGUAUCAAAUAAUAUAUACGUGUUGUUUUCUGGUAUGACUUUUUUUAAUGCUUUCUUUGCAGAAUAUAGUACAUUCUUAGACAAAUAUAUAUUUAUAUUUAUAUAUUUGUGUAUAUGUCCUAUAUGUAUAGGUCAACGGUAAUAGGGAUUCUUUGUGAGUUAGAAUAAUGGAAGAAAUAUGAUGAAAGAACUGGACAUCCAACCACAACCUUUUACGCUUCACAUGUUAAGACUCUACAAAAACUGCUGAAUUUGAAUAAGCAUUCAACAACACAGAACAUUCACUGAUUCUAAGGAAUCACAUAUCUGAAAGAUCCAUUUAUGUACAUGUUCAUAUUUAAUGGAACAUGUUCAAUGUGGAGAUCGUUUUUGUGAGCUAUCAUCAUUUCUAAUUUCCUUAAUUAAGCUAAGUUAGACUGUUGAAACUUCAAGCUGCAGAGUAAGAUUUGUCAUAGCAGAUUUAUGUUUAUGCAAAAGCACAUGCUUUGAAUGUAAGAAAUAAACAUAAAAAAAUGACAAAACAAGGCAACAUUUAGUAACCACCGACUUUUACAAGAUAAUACUAAUUAAACAGUAUUGUAACCUCUAAAAUUACAUGUAGGUGGGUGGGGGUAAUUUCCAGCAGACCAGAUAUUGUUUGGGAUCCAAGAUUCUCAGUAUUUUGGCAGCAAAAAACACAUUUACCUGUAUUUAUCUGUUUUCACAAGCUUAAAUAUUAACUUGACAGGAUUGGGGAAUGCUCUUAACAGCGGUAUCAGAUCCUGACCCAAGCUCACAACUUAUAGAUAUUAUGCUUAUGCAGCCGCCUUGUGCUUAAAAUGGCACAUUAAGUCAAAAGAGAAGUUCUUCUUGGGCGGGAUCCAUCUAAUCACCUACCACAACAUAGUUGCCAUCAUGCUAAUGGAUAAUAAGGAAGACCAAAUACAAAAGGGAAAUUAAAGCCCUACUGCGGGACAACAGGCAACAUUGAAGGACUGUGGUGAUAUCUGGAAAAGGCAAAUAUCAAAUCUGUUCACUUUCAUCCAUCACAGGGUAUGCCUGGUGGAGAAUGUGGGUUGUUUAAAAAAUGUGUGGGGUACAAGAGGAAUUUUUUUGGAAGAAUGAACACAUUUUAUUUCAUGCCUAUUAUGAACUGUUUUAUCUCAUAAACAAACAAACAAACUCCACUAGCAUUAAUGGAUUUUUUCACAUACUAGUAUAAGUUUCUUAAGCCACUGAAAUUCUUACAUAGAGACUUUGAGUUAUGUAUUUGUACAAUUCCUGACUGUCUAAGAACAGUCAGGAUAUUCUUUUGAAACCCAUUUGCUAACAUUUAAUUUGACACAAAUCACUCUGACCUUGAGACAAUUAUUGAAGCAUGACCAUAAGUCUGAGACCCUAAGGCAUCACAUUCUAAACUUCCCAUGAUCAUACAUGAGGAUGCCAUACAUUAUAUUAGGUACUUGUCAGAAGUGAAUGCUUUCCUAAGAAGACUAGAGACUCCUUUGUACACUAAUAAUCCUGGAGGGGUUACAACCAGAUCUCCCCAUUGAGGGGAUAUGGAGAAGAUAACUCAAUUGACCUUGUUUGUGCCCGUACUUUGCAAUAUUCCUGCAGUUUCAUAGAUGCUCAACCUUAUGACGUCCAUUUGACGGACUUGUGAGAUCCAAUUGACUGCUAUUAGCUAAUAUCUGAUUAUCAAAUGGCUAUUUUAAUUGAUCAUAUGUUACCACAGAGGAGUAACUACAGGUAGUUUCUGUCUAUGAUGGUUUAUUCUUAUUUUUAUUAUAUUUAUUUUUUAUAGUACUACUAUUGUUUCUUUGUACUGAGUAGCAGUUUAUCCUCAUUCUGUAGUGCAGCUUAUUUUCAUGUCAUACUCUCCCUCAGACUUUCUAUAUCAAGUAUAAACACUUGUAACUGAUUGUCAAGUUCUCCCUUUUAACCCCUUAAGGACGGAGCCAAAUGUACACGUUGUGAACAAAACAAAAUGUAAACAAAACCUGGCAUUUGCUCUACAUGUCUGUCCAACCGUAAUUCAUCUCUUUCAUAUUAAAUACACCCACCCUUAUUAUAUAUCAUUUUAUUCAGGUGAAACAGGGCUUUCAUUUAAUAUCAAAUAUUUAGCUAUGAAACAUAAUUUAAUAUGAAAAUAAUGGGAGAAAAUACGAUUUUUUUCUGAUUUUUUUAGUUCUACAUGACAUUUUAACGGUCAAUGUCAUAAUACUGUUUACUUUUACUGCAAUAAAAUACACAUAUUUGAAUUCAGCAAAGUCUCACGUGUAAAACAGUACCCCCUAUAUACAGGGUUUAUGGCGUUUUGGGAAGUUACAGGGUCAAAUAUAGCACGUUACAUUUGAAAUUGAAAUUUGCCAGAUUGGUUACGUUGCCUUUGGGACUUAAUAGUAGCCCAGGAAAGAAAUUUACACCCAUAAUGGCAUAUCAUUUGCAAUAGAAGACAACCCAAGGUAUUGCAAAUGGGGUAUGUCCAGUCUUUUUUAGUAGCCAUUUUGUCACAAACACUGGCCAAAGUUAGCGUUAGUAUUUGUUUGUGUGUGAAAAAUGCAAAACACGCCAAUUUUGGCCAGUGUUUGUGACUAAGUGGCUACUAAAAAAGACUGGACAUACCUCGUUUGCAAUACCUUGGGUUGUCUACUAUUGCAAAUGGUAUGCCAUCAUAGGGGUAAUUUUCAUUCUUGGGCUACCAUAGGGUCUCAAAGGCAACGUAACCAAUCUGGCGAAUUUUAUUGUGAAAAAAAUGAAACACAAGCCUAAUAUUUGAUGCUGUAACUUUUGAAAACACCAUAAAACCUGUACAUGAGGGGUACUGUUGUACUCGGGAGACUUCGCUGAACACAAAUAUUUGUGUUUGAAAACAGUAAAAAGUAUCGCAGCAAUAAUAUCGUCCGUGUAAGUGCUGUUUGUGCGUGAAAAAUGCAAAAAACUUCACUUUUACUGGCGAUAUCAUCGUUGUAAUACAUUUUACUGUUUUGAAACACUAAUAUUUGUGUUCGGCGAAGUCUCCCGAGUAGAACAGUACCCCCAUGUACAGGUUUUAUGGUGUCUUGGAAAGUUAUAGGGUUAAAUAUAGUGCUAGCAAAUUAAAUUCCCUUUUGCUUUCGGCAUGGGUUGUCAGGCAGUUCCCGCUAAUUGUAAUUAUUUAAGAUACCUAAUUAUGUAAAAAUAUUAUAUAAAUAUAUAUGUAGAAUUAAUAUAUGUAUAUAUAUAUAUAUAUAUAUAUAUAUACGUAUGUGAAUAUAUAUGUAUAUAUGUAUAUAUAAUUUUUUUUAAAUAUUUUUAAUUUAUAUAUAGGUAUAUAUAUAGUGAUAUAUACAUAUAUAUUUAUGUAUAUAGAUAUAUAUAUAUUAUUUCGUUCUAUGUGUAUUUUGAUAUAAAUAUAUAUAUAUUAAUAUCACAAUACAGUUAGAACGAAAUAACACACAUCUAUAUAUUUUUUAAUAAUUUUUUUAAAUAAUUUUUUUAAUUAAAUUUUUUAACGUAUUUACAAAUUAAUUUUUUUUAUAUUAUAUAUAUAUAUAUAUAUAUAUAAAACAAUAAUUAUAUAUAUAUUUAAUCAGUAUCAGUCUACAUGUAAUUUGAUAUUAAUAUAUAUAUAUAUAAUUAUAUAUAUAUUAAUAGUAAAAUACACCUAGACAGUGUAUGUGUGUGUAUGUAUAUGUGUAUAUAUAUAUACUUAGAUCAUAUAUAUACAAUAUAUAUGAUCUAAGUAUAUAUUUUUUUUUUUACACUUAUUUAACUUUUAUUAAUUUAAUUUAAUUUGAUUUCCAGCCAGCAGGGGGACCACUUGUCAUUACAAGCAGCCCCACUGCUGGCAAUGCAGGAGGCAGCUAACCCUGCCUUGUGAUUGUGAGGUCCUCGCAAGGACCUCACUCUCACAUGGCUGGGGGGGCUGCCAGGAGGUCGGACGGGCGGCGGGGGCUCCCUGGGUGUCCCCCCAACUGCGAUCGCCAGUGUGGUAUCGCCGGCGUGGGAUCGCCGGCGACCGGGUAAGUAUAGAAAGACCGGAGGACGUACUAUUACGCCCGGCGGCGUUUAGAGCCACCUAAAAUAAGGGGUUAAGCUAGCAAAUCACAAUAAAGAACUGCAAUGUUUAUAUUGCAGCUCUAGGUCUGCCCUCAGUGGCUGUCUAACAGAGAGCAACUGGGGGCGCUUCCAGAACCGUAACAGACUUUUGGUCCAUUAUCUAACGCUGGACGUCCUCACGCUCUACAUUGGGACGUCAGAUUUUCCCCAUAACAAAGCACUGAUUCAAUGCUUUCCUAAGGGGAGGUCUAAUGUGCAUGCGGCGUUUGCCGCACAUGCGCAUUAGACCCUGCUUGUCGCGGGGUGGAGGAGGGGGCGGAUCUUUCACACAGCACCGAGGAAUAUCGGCACUGGGAUAAGUUAAGUAAAUAAAGGGUUUUUAACCCUACAUUUAGUAGGGAAGGGGGUACAGGGCAAGGGGGAGGUAGAGGAAUCGGUAGUGCCAGGAAUAGAGCUUUGUAUUCCUGGCACUACAGUAUCCCUUUAACAAAUUGUUUACCAGAAGAGACAAUAUUUGAAGCAGCACAUUUUAAAACUGAUUGCAGCUGUUCCUGUAAUACUUUCAACUAUUCAGCAUGUCCUGAUGCAAAUUUGAAAGUACUUGGAACAAAAGGUUCAUUGGGGAAAGUGAUUGGCAUUGUUCUGCCUGUCAUUAACUCAUGAGGUGACACUUGCGUUUUAGAGUUUGGAGUUGCACGAAUAUACAUUAAUACUCCUAGUAAAUGUGUUACCCAACUACUCCCUUUAACUACAAGCGUUUAUUUUACAAUUUAAAUGUUAAUGUAAAACAAUUUAAAUAGAGUUCCAUGGUCAUUUUGCCACAGAUACUCUCUGUAACUUUGGUUUCUAGUCUUUAGGUCUUGGAUUAAAUUGAGCACAUAUGAGACACUCCUGUACUAUAUGUAUACAUCAUUCUUUUAAAUUAGGAUGAUACCAUUUAGUUUGCAGGAUCUUAAACAGUUUUUCUGUACAGACUUAAAUCCUGCCCGCAUUCUCCAUCAUUAAAUGUAGGAAAUUAGCUGUUCCUGAGAUGUUUGUCACACCAAAGUUCCAAUAAUCAAAUCAGAUUGUAUUGCAGCCAAAAAUGUAUAUUUAUUCAAACAUACACACCAUGAGAAAAUAACACAAAAUAUUUGCAAACAUCUGGACCAAUACAGCAAUGUGUAAGCACUGCAAGAUAGUAUUCAUUUUUGUUGUUAUAAGUAUUUGUGAGGAAUUUCUAACUGUAAAUGUUUUUAUAUGUCUAAAAUUCAGUUAUUUACGAGGCGUUACCUGACACUUUAAAAUAUGUGGCCAUCAUAGAAAAAGGUUGUGGCUUAACCAUUCUGUCCAAUCUCUGAUUAGAGCCAGACAUUAUACAAAUAGUUAGGAAGUAGGGUUAGGUGAUGUAUAGAGUCCCACAAGGGGAAACUAACAUCAGGAGAACACCACAGUUUAAGAAAUGAGGAAGGGGGGCCAUACCUUUAAUCAAUCUAAGGAUAAAAAGGGAUAUGCAAACAAAAAGUAUAACUUGAAAAAAGGGAGACAUACUAAAUGGUGCCCAGGGAAUCAAUUGUCUGGAGUACUAACUAGCAUCUACGUUCCAGUUCCCCUAGUGUCCUCAUUGGAGCUCCGUAUUAGGUGGUUACAGUGGUGCAGCUCAUGAGCCCUUGACUUGUAUCCGGACUCCUGACCUGCACUCUGUUUACUUUAUUUCUCCAUUUUGUGUUUUAUACAAAUGGUUAUACUUGGGGGGUAAAAUAUAAUUUACACGAAGGUCUUACUGUUUACAUGAUUAAAUUAAUUUCUUCAAAAAGAAACUUCCUAAUACACAUGGGAGUCUUGCUUGCAAUACUAGGUCAAAAGGUAAUAUCAACAGGCUUUCAUCAAUCAUUAUCUCAACAAGAACCAUAUGUGGUGAACAUUGGUAAACAAAUAAAUAGGAUCUCUCAGUUCUUGUGUCUGAAAGUAUUUUAAAAUGAAAUUAAUUUCAACUAAUACAAAACUUAUAAUAUUCAUAUCACAAAGAUAAAAUCCUACAACACAUCACAUAUUUAAAUUUCAAUAAAUAUAUUUCAUAACCCAGUGCAGGUGUGUUCCUUUUAUUCACACUCUACGCAGUGGGACAUGCAAAUUCUAAACAUGCAAGGGUUUAGACUGAAAAAAUUCAAUUGCAGAGUCUAGAUCUGGAAUUAGACAUAAUCUGUGCCGUGGUUGGUACUUGUGAUUGUUUAAAAAGGAUUGAAGAUUGCAUUUCUUGAAAUCCCUUGUGAUUAUAAUCUUGGUAGAGGAUUUAGUGGCCUUUAUUUUGCGUAUUCAGUACACUAAACAGUGGUCACUGAAUCUGUUAGUGAGAACUACCACCUACUGGAUUCUAUCAGGACAACUGAAUAGAAUCUGAUGUAGCAAGGUAUGGUUAUGGCUUAUCAUCUUAAUGAGCGUUGGGGAGGAAAUUAAUUGUGUUAGCUGCAACAUGAUUUAUUAUUUUUAGGAUUCAGCAAAUCAUUCUUAACAUCUCCAAAAAUCAACAGUUCACUUUUUUGGUUUUGAGCUACAGUUUCACAAAGGAAUUGGGCUAUGUCUAAAAGUAAUGCACUCGGAAGCUAGGUGGGCGUUAAAUUCCUGCAACAAUGAUAGUUUUACUGAAAGGGAUCUUGAUUGUGUCAGAGAGGAAAUCAAAGGUGGCAGGGGAGCUAUAGUUUUUUUAAAAGGGUGAACUUUAGAAACAAUCCCACGAAAUUAUGUAUUCCCAAAGGAAAGAUCAAAUUAUUUUCCAAUUUAAGAUGAAAAACAGACUAAGUUGGAUUAAUAACUCAUCAGCUAAAAACAAAAGAAUACGAGAAUGUUGUCUUCAAAAAGCAUUUACGUUUUUCAGCUCUAAUAGUUAAAAGAGAGUUAUUUUUAUAAUAAUCUAGUCUAUAAUUUGCAUAGGAUAGGUACAUGCUUCUAUUAUAGAACUCUUCUCUCCUCUCAACUGUUUCUGGUGUGUUAUUGUGUUUUGUUUGUAAAUGUCUAUGCAUGCAAAAGUGUGGAUGUAAUUUUAUUACUGUGGAAACAAAAUAAAGAUUAUUAAGAAUAAUAACAUUCAAUAUUUGAUGUAACCACAUUUACUUUGUUGUUAAUUCCAUGAUCAUGAGAUAAUGUGAAUACCAAUAAGAGAUAAGCCGAGAUGUAACUUUAUUUUUAAUAGUUCAAAUGUUUUGGAUUGUGAUAACGUUGAAAAUACACAAAAACAGUAGGUGUAAUGGGAGGAAUAAAUGGCUGUGAUUAUAACUGAUGCAUUUGACUGGUAAAACUAACAUGAAUGUACUUUAGUUUCAAAUUACAUGUCACACAAUAUAAUAUAUAUAAUUUAACAUAAUAAUAAUAAUAAUAAUAACACUUAUAUCUUAAAAAACUGAACUUAACUUGCAAAACAAUUGGCAAUGAUGUCAAACCUUUUUUCUUUUCUUUUUGUAAAAUAUGCUUUAAAAUAGUUUUUUCCUCAGUAGGAAUAGAAAUAAUCUAGUUAAAAAAAAGGCCUGUCACAUUUUCUCUAGAUCUCCCUUAGAACCAGGAAAUGCUUGUGCCAGCAGGUAAACAAAAAAGCAUAUAGGAUACAAUACAAUAGCUAUACUGAAGCAGAGUAUACAAUAGCUAUACAUUCUAAUUACUGAUGAAAAGAAACAAGCUCAGUACUGUUUUCAGCAUCAGCAAGGUAAACAGUAUAUAAAGGCUCUUCAUUCUGUGCAACAGCACAACUUGCAUGAGCAGAUCAACCAUCACUGAAAAUGGGAAAGGUAAGAUGAUCUGAAUAUUGUAAAUAUUUGGAACACAAGAAAUUUUGGAAACAAUAAACAGUUUUUUGUUUUUUUUUAAAUAAACCAAAACAAAUUAAAAUUUUAAAUGCUUACACUGAAUGUCAGCAAACUUUAUCCUAUACAAUAUAUCCUAUCCUAUACAAUAUAUCCUGGUGAGUUUAUCUAGGCCAGAAACAUGACAACAUAAUAUUCCAUAAACUAGUUUUGGACAUUUGCCGCCUCAUCAAAUACAAAUUCAUCAGAACACAUGCUUCACAUGUUUACUUUUUUCAGACUCAAGAUUAAGAUUUUUUUCAGUUUUUUAAAGUACUUUCUAGUGAAUGCCACUAUUAACCGUAAUAAAUUGCUAUAAUUAUGUGAAAGUGAAUGCAAGUUCACCAAUCUAAAAAAACACAAGAUGUACCAAAAACAUAUAUUCCAAUUCGGUCCUAAACUUAUAUGUUUAACACCUACACUUUAUUAUUUGAACAGGAUAAUAGUAGAUGUUUUUAGGAAUCUAUAGCAUCAAGUAAUCAAACCAGAAACUAUUUUUUAAAUGAAAUUAUUAACCACUAAAACAAUAAUAAACUAAAAAAUCUAAAAUGUUCAAAUGCAUGGUUGUUUCACAGAUUGUCUUCUACGAGGAUCGUAACUUCCAGGGCCGCUCUUAUGAGUGCAACUCUGAGUGUCCAGAUAUGUCCUCAUAUUUUCAGCGCUGUAAUUCCAUCCGAGUGGAAAGUGGAAACUGGAUUCUGUAUGAGCACCCCAACUAUAGAGGACACCAGUAUUACCUUAGCAGGGGAGAAUAUCAUAAUUUCCAGCAAUGGAUGGGUUUCAAUGACUCCAUCAGAUCUUGUCGUAUUAGCCCAGAGGUAAAGAUAUUUACCAAAAUAGUUAAGAACCUUACAUAAAUAUGAUGCAGUACAAAAAAACAUUAUUGUCCUAUUAUUAUAGGUUUACCUUUGCAAAUAUGACCUUUUUUGACUAUUAUUCAUUAUUUUAUGGAAUAUAUCUUCAAUUCACAAUUCCAUUGUCAGGUAACAGGUGGGUUAACAUGGAUAAAAUAUAUAUAUAUAUAUAUAUAUAUAUAUAUAUAUAUAUAUAUAUAUAUUCCCGUAUAGAUUUUUGAUGUUUACAUGCAAUUAUACAAUUAUUUUACUCUUGUUUAUAAAUAAUUUUUUCUUCGUAAAGCACCAUGGAUCAUUCAGAGUAAAGGUCUAUGAGAGGGAGGAUUUCCGAGGUCAGAUGAUGGAGUUCACUGAAGAUUGUCCUAAUGUCAAUGAGAGAUUCCGUUACCAUGACAUCCACUCCUGCCAGGUGAUUGAUGGCUACUGGAUGUUCUAUGAGGAACCAAAUUACAAAGGACGCCAGUAUUACCUGAGACCUGGAGAGUACAGAAGAUAUACUGACUGGGGUGCCAUGAGCCCAAGAAUUGGCUCAUUCAGGAGACUUCACCAUUUCUAAUAAGUUGUAUUUAUUACUAAAUCAGCAUGUCAUUAAGAAUAUAAUAAAAGCUUCAAAAAUUAUCUUUAA